UGUUUAAGGUAUUUAUCUCCCGAGGGAAAACUUCGCUAAAAUAGAUGGCACCACUUUGUACGUGUACGACAAACAAAAAGUGACGAGGUGGCCUCCAGUGGCGAAGGUCGGAUUCGAACCAGCGUCUUUAGCUAACCGGGGCGUCUUUAGCCAGUUAACGUCAUGAACCCCUAGGCCACCCCGUCACGGUGAAACUGGUCCUAAUUUCUCGACUAUAUAUGCAAUCGUAGUGAGACUAGGCGUUAUGUGAAAUUCGCAUGUAUCGAUGCCAAUUUCCUAUAGCUCGUUGAGCAAUAAUGUAAAUGACUACAUUUGACCUCGCUCGACAAAGAUGAUUCAGUUUGCACCGAAAGUUGAGUUCAUGAGAACCGUUUCACACGUUUCUUUACCACAUGCGCCCCGCCCGUCUACACCCCACCCCUCCACUGAAUUUUUCUGCUAUAAAAGAGCAUGUUGAACCAUAUUCCCACUACAGUGUCACAACGAAUAUUGCGUUGAAAUCAUGGAUCCGCAAGCUUCAUCACAUACCAAAUCCGACAACAAUACCAUCACCACUUGGUGCUGCCAGUGCUGGUUGUCCACCACCACAAGCGGCGGCGGCGGCUGUGACGGUGGCUGUAGCAGCUCCACUUCGCAAUCGUCACCCGGACCACAACCGAUGGCAACAGCAAAGGCACUGUUAAAACAAGACGAUGGGGACAAGGGAAAAACAAACUGCCUAGAGAGCGCUUCUGAGAGCGAUACGAGCGAUGAAAUGAAAUCUUUUUAUCAAGGAUGUAAAAGCAAGUGGAUAAAAGCGUUCCAGAACAAUACUCUGAUUAAUAGAUGGCGCCUCCCCAUGCCAUUUCACACAUUUAGAGCGGAAGUAGCGAGAUUGUUUAAAACGAUUGUAUAUCGAAGGUCACCAUGACGAUUGUCAUAUUUACCAGUUAAUUGUAAUGUGGGACGAUUUAAACGAUGACGUAGAAGAGAUAGUGGGAGAUGCUCAAAUCAACUAUCAAGACUGGAUUGCGUUAUUAGGUGGCGUUACAGCGGAACUAUUUUCACGCGUGGUGUUCAAUACUAAAUCUUUUAAUUAUUUAAUCAAUGUAAUAUUUUGUGUGCUAGGUCCAAACAUAAUAGCUUCCGGUGAUUAUGAAUGUGAACCUAAAUGUAAGAAUGCUCGUACAUAUUAAGGUGAUGAUGCAUUUAUUCCUUGUCAUUGUUUAAUUUUAAAUUGUUAGCUCGCUGCGAAUGUAAAUGUUUUAAUGUACACGUAUUAAUAAUAAAUUCAUAUUACUGAAUA